AUUUAAUAUAUAUCAAAUCUAUAUUAAAUAUUAGUAAAAAAAUAGUAAAAUCUACAAUAUUUAAUAAAAUUUAUUUUUAAAUAUAAGUUAGAUUUAAAUGAAGACAGUUGAACGGAAAAAAUAAGAUACUUUUAGAAAAGCUGUCUUCCCCUUCGAACAACUGCACCGGAUAUCUCUCAAUUAAAUUGACUAUCCCCAAAAUCCAAAGAUAAAAUCUGCUCCUAUGUUUCACUAAUUUUCAAUGCGUACAAAUGAUAUGAUUCGGUGAAGGCUAACCUCAUAUAAUAUGUACAGGUUACAGAUCUCAACGUGGGAUGAGAUUUGGUCGGGAAGCUUCGGUCUGAAAUCGGAACGUUGAAUGAGAUUUGGGUAUCUAACUUGAUGAAAGACAAAGGAAGGCACGGCCGCAAUAGAACAUCUUUGCACGGGACUCUCUUCAGGCUUGAAGAAGACGUACGAUUGAGAUGGUUCUACCAAUCUUGAGUCUUGACGAAUAAAUCAGUCGGAGACACCCAAAUGAGGCCUCGAUAUGCUUUCACCAAAUAUCAUAUUAUCCGAAAGUGAUGUCAUAGUAUAUACAUUUUAAAAAUUAUAUAUAUCCAUAGGGGCACCUCUCAUUUGACAUGAUGAUGACGUCUAUAUAUAAAGAAUGAGAUCUUGUCCAGUUUCUCAGGUUGCCAUCCAAGGGGUCUUUAUUGCUCUCCAGCUAGCUGUCCUACAAGCUGUCCCCACCAUUCAGAAAGGUCAGGCACCAACGUCUAAUGAGAAAAGUGAGCAGUUCUUGAUAACAUGUUGUAACUGCGCGGCAGCAGCGUGUCUCCAUCAAAUUGAACCAUGCACGUGAUCUGGUCGAGGCAAUAGAGAGGGAAAAACGGGAGCCUAAAGAAAUAUAGAUGCGUUGGAGUUCCCUCCUUAAACCCAAAACAAAUCAAGCCUUAGUCAAAGAAGAAGAAAUAUCUAGAAGGAGAAGAAGAGUGUGGAUUGAGAAGUGUGUAGAAGUGUGUUGAAGUGUUUAAGAAAAGAAGAUGGAGAAAUCUCUAGAAUUAGCUUGUAGUUACCCUCCACUAGUAUAAAUAAGAGUGUAGAGUCCCUUUGUAACAUCAUCCAAGAAUCAAGAAAACAAAGAGAGAAAACAUUUGUAAGAGAGAGUUCUCAAAACAAAAUCUUUGUAAACCCUUUCCAAAAUUAUAAAGAGUCUUCUUCUUAAAUCUUUUA